UACAGAGGUCCCAAGCGUUGUUCGGAUUUAUUGGGCGUAAAGGGUGCGUAGGCGGCGGAGUAAGUUGGGUGUGAAAUCCCGGGGCUCAACCUCGGAAUUGCAUUCAAUACUGCUUCGCUCGAGUACUGGAGAGGAGGCUGGAAUUUACGGUGUAGCAGUGAAAUGCGUAGAUAUCUGGAGGAACACCGAUGGCGAAGGCAGCUCGCUGGGACGGUACUGACGCUGAGGCGCGAAAGCGUGGGGAGCAAACAGG
rnacentral:rRNA from 1 species